GAUUAUUUAGUUUAUAUAAAACGAAUGUUUUGAAAACAUUAAAAAAGUAAAAGAACUUAUUAAUCG
rnacentral:tRNA from 1 species